rnacentral:rRNA from 1 species
CAAGAGCGUAUAUUAAAGUUGCUGCGGUUAAAAAGCUCGUAGUUGGAUUUCAGUCUAGGAAGGUUAACUCGCCGAAAGGUUGUACGUUGAUUUUCCUCAGACUUCGUCAGAAGCUCGUGCUGCACUUAACUGUGUGGUACGAUGUUCUGACCUUUUACCUUGAGGAAAGUAGAGCGUUUCAGGCAGGCUACCCAGCUUGAAUACAUUAGCAUGGAAUAAUGAAAUGGAUCUCGGUUCGAUUUCGUUGGUUCUAGAGCUGAGGUGAUGAUCAAUAGGAACAGGCGAAGGUAUUCGUACUUGAGAGUGAGGAGUGAAAUCCGAUGAUCUCUUAAAGACGAUCCGAGGCGAAAGCAUUUGUCAAGGAUGUUUUCAUUGA